rnacentral:rRNA from 1 species
GCGCGAAAACUUUACAAUGCGGGCAACCGCGAUAAGGGGACCUCGAGUGCUGGGUUACAAACCUGGCUGUUGGGCUGCCUAAAAAGCAGUCUAUAGCAAGGGCCGGGCAAGACCGGUGCCAGCCGCCGCGGUAACACCGGCGGCUCGAGUGGUAACCGCUAUUAUUGGGUCUAAAGGGUCUGUAGCCGGCCGACUAAGUCUCUUGGGAAAUCUGGCAUCUCAAGUGUCAGGCUGCCAGGGGAUACUGGUCGGCUUGGGACCGGGAGAGGUGAGAGGUACCUCGGGGGUAGGGGUGAAAUCUUGUAAUCCUCGAGGGACCACCAGUGGCGAAGGCGUCUCACCAGAACGGAUCCGACGGCAAGGGACGAAAGCUAGGGGCACGAACCGGAUUAGAUACCCGGGUAGUCCUAGCCGUAAACGAUACUCGCUAGGUGUCGGCCACGGUGCGACCGUGGUCGGUGCCGUAGGGAAGCCGUGAAGCGAGCCACCUGGGAAGUACGGCCGCAAGGCUGAAACUUCAAGGAAUUGGCGGGGGAGCGCCACAACGGGUGGAGCCUGCGGUUUAAUUGGAUUCAACGCCGGAAAGCUUACCGGGGGCGACAGCAAUAUGAAGGUCAGGCUGAAGACCUUACCGGAUUCGCU